rnacentral:rRNA from 1 species
GGGGAUAAUUUUAAUAAUUUAUAAAUAAUAAAAAAAAUUUUAAUAUGAAAUAUUUUAAUAGGGGUUAAAGUAUUAUUAUAGAAAAAAUUUUUAAGUUUAUAGAAAAUGAGUAUUGUAAAAGAAUAAUGAAAUAGAUUGAAAAUUUAAUUAAAUAAGAAGUAAAUUUAAAUUAUUGUAUCUUGGGUAUCAGAGUUUAUUAAUAAAAUUUUUUAUUUAAAAAUUUCUCGAAUUUAAAAGAGAUAAUUAAUUAUAAAAGUUAUUGUUUCAUAAAUAUUUUAAAUAAUUAAUUUGAAAUGAAAUGUUAAUCGUUUUUAAAUAUAUCUAGUUUUUUUAGAAAUAAAUUUAAUUUAUAAUUUUUUUUUAAAAAUUAAUUUCUUAAUUAAUUAAUUUUUUUUUAAAAUUUAAUAUUUUAAGGGAUAAUCUUUAAAUUAAAUUUUUAUAAUUAUUUAUGUAAAAUAAAUUAAAAAUUUUAAAAUUUAUAUUGUUUAUAAAUUAUAUUUUUUUAUAAAAAAUUUUAUUUAUAAAUAAAAUUUUUAAUAAAUAUUUAAAUUUUUAUAAAAAAAUAAUUUUUAAUUAAAUAAAAUUAGUUAUAAUGAUAAAAUUAGUAUAAAUUUUAAUAUAUAUAUAUAUAUAUAUAUAUAUAUAUAUAUAUAUAUAUAUAAAAAUAAUUAAUUUAAUUUAUUUAUAAUUAUAAAAAAGGAAUUCGGCAAAUAUUUAUAUUCACUUGUUUAUCAAAAACAUGUCUUUUUGUUAAUAAUUUAAAGUCAAAUCUGCCCACUGAUAAAUUAUUAAAGGGCUGCAGUAUAUUGACUGUACAAAGGUAGCAUAAUCAUUAGUCUUUUAAUUGAAGACUUGUAUGAAUGAUUUGAUGAAAUAUAAACUGUCUCUUAUAUAAUUUUAGAAUUUAAUUUUUUAGUAAAAAAGCUAAAAUAAUUUUAAAAGACGAGAAGACCCUAUAGAGUUUUAUAUUUAUUUAUAUUAAUUAUUUUAUAAAUAUUAAAAUGAAAAUUUAAUUAAAUAUUUUAUUGGGGUGAUAGAAAAAUUAAAAGAACUUUUUUUAUAUUUUAACAUUAAUAAAUGAAAUAAUGAUCCAUAUUUUAUGAUUAAAAGAAAAAAUUACCUUAGGGAUAACAGCGUAAUUUUUUUUUUUAGUUCAAAUAAAAAAAAGAGUUUGCGACCCCGAUGUUGGAUUAAGAUAAAAUUUAAAUGUAGAAGUUUAAAAUUUUGAUCUGUUCGCUCACUAAAAUCUCACACGAUCUGAGUUCACACCGGUGUGAGCCAGGUUGGUUUCUAUCUUUAGAAAAUUGAAAUAUUUUAGUACGAAAGGAUUAAAUAUUUAAAAAAUUUUUAUUUAAAAAGAGAAUAUUAUUAAAUUUUUAUUAUAGUAUAUAUAUAUAUAUAUAUAUAU